rnacentral:misc_RNA from 1 species
AACUUUCGGCAAUGGAUCUCUUGACUCUCGCAUCGAUGAAGAACGCAGCGAAAUGCUAUAAGUAAUGUGAAUUGCAGAAUUCAGUGAACCAUCGAAUCUUUGAACGCAUCUUGCGCUCCUUGGUAUUCUGAGGAGCAUGCCUGUUUGAGUGUUAUUAAAUUCUCAACUACACUGACUUUGAUUAGUGUGGCUUGGAUUUGGGGGGAAAAUUUGUUGUGGGCUUUUUUGUAGUCUGCUCCCCUGAAAUUAAUUAGCGGUACCUUGGUGGAACUGUCUACAGGUGUGAUAAUUAUCUACAUCCUAGACAUCUGCUGGAAUGCUGCUUUCUAGACCUUACUUGUAUUGACAAUCUUGACCUCAAAUCAGGUAGGACUACCCGCUGAACUUAAGCAUAUCAAUAAGCGGAGGCU